GAUGAACGCUAGCGGCAGGCCUAACACAUGCAAGUCGAGGGGUAGACAUCUUCGGAUGUUGAGACCGGCGCACGGGUGCGUAACGCGUAUGCAAUCUACCUUAUACUAAGGGAUAGCCCAGAGAAAUUUGGAUUAAUACCUUAUGGUUAAUAAAGCCGGCAUCGGUUUAAUUAUAAAGAUUUAUUGGUAUAAGAUGAGCAUGCGUCCCAUUAGUUAGUUGGUAAGGUAACGGCUUACCAAGACGAUGAUGGGUAGGGGUCCUGAGAGGGAGAUCCCCCACACUGGUACUGAGACACGGACCAGACUCCUACGGGAGGCAGCAGUGAGGAAUAUUGGUCAAUGGACGGAAGUCUGAACCAGCCAUGCCGCGUGCAGGAUGAAGCAUCUAUGGUGUGUAAACUGCUUUUGUGCGGGAAGAAAAAAAGCUACGUGUAGUUUACUGACGGUACCGUAAGAAUAAGGAUCGGCUAACUCCGUACCAGCCGCCGCGGUAA
rnacentral:rRNA from 1 species